GAUCAUGGCUCAGAUUGAACGCUGGCGGCAGGCCUAACACAUGCAAGUCGAACGGUAACAGGAAACAGCUUGCUGUUUCGCUGACGAGUGGCGGACGGGUGAGUAAUGUCUGGGAAACUGCCUGAUGAGGGGGAUAACUACUGGAAACGGUAGCUAAUACCGCAUAACGUCGCAAGACCAAAGAGGGGGGACCCUCGGGCCUCUUGCCAUCGGAUGUGCCCAGAUGGGAUUAGCUUGUUGGUGGGGUAACGGCUCACCAAGGCGACGAUCCCUAGCUGGUCUGAGAGGAUGACCAGCCACACUGGAACUGAGACACGGUCCAGACUCCUACGGGAGGCAGCAGUGGGGAAUAUUGCACAAUGGGCGCAAGCCUGAUGCAGCCAUGCCGCGUGUAUGAAGAAGGCCUUCGGGUUGUAAAGUACUUUCAGCGGGGAGGAAGGGAGUAAAGUUAAUACCUUUGCUCAUUGACGUUACCCGCAGAAGAAGCACCGGCUAACUCCGUG
rnacentral:rRNA from 1 species